rnacentral:rRNA from 1 species
AUUGAACGCUGGCGGUAUGCUUAACACAUGCAAGUCGAACGAUGAGAAAGAGCUUGCUCUUUCGAUUAGUGGCGGACGGGUGCGUAACGCGUAGGAAUCUACCUAUUAGUGGGGGACAACUUAGGGAAACUUAAGCUAAUACCGCAUACGCCCUACGGGGGAAAGAAGGGGAUCGCAAGACCUUUUGCUAAUAGAUGAGCCUGCGUAGGAUUAGCUAGUUGGUGGGGUAAAAGCUCACCAAGGCGACGAUCCUUAACUGGUUUGAGAGAAUGAUCAGUCACACUGGAACUGAGACACGGUCCAGACUCCUACGGGGGGCAGCAGUGGGGAAUAUUGGACAAUGGGCGAAAGCCUGAUCCAGCAAUACCGCGUGUGUGAAGAAGGCCUUAGGGUUGUAAAGCACUUUCAAUUGGAAGGAAAACCUCGAAGCUAAUACCUUCGAGUUUGACAUUACCUUUAGAAGAAGCACCGGCUAACUCCGUGCCAGCAGCCGCAGUAA